rnacentral:pre_miRNA from 1 species
UCAUUCGGAUUCGCCAUCAUACGUCCAACCGUGCAUUUGAUAUGCAUAUAUAUGCAUCACGAGCCACGCUUGGGUUGUAUGAUGGCGAUACCGAUUGG